UUCCCUGAAUUACAGAUUUUAACCACCACUCCUCCAUGAACUGCCCCCUUGGUGGAGGACUGAGAGUUUUUCUAGUUAGGCCUAAUAUCUUAUAAUCAUCAAUUAUAUGCCUAGUGCACUGAUUAGAGCAAAUAAAUCUCAUGUUGCCCUCUAUGCUCAGGACCACUACCUACUUCUGACAGCUGAGUCCACCUAAAAAACCAGUGGCUAAAAAGACUGAAUCUAAUGUAAUAUAACAGAAACAAACAUUUAAAAACCAGGCAAAAUGUGCAACAAUUAAAAGAUAACAAAAUAACUGCUAUAAUGUUACUUAACAUAAGGUUUGAAAAUCCAUUGUUUUACUCAAAGUGGUCCUCUGCUGGUCCUCUCUUGGGGGUUUGCAGGUCAAAGGGGAUGGGUGUUUAUAACUCUCUAGGUGUGGUUAAUAGGGUGGCAGGUGAUGAUUAAGUCUGGGUAUUUUAACUUUUGAUUUAACGAUAAGGAAUAUUGUUUUAUUCUGUUUGUCUGAUAAUGUCCCAUUUUUAUCAGAUACUGAAUGAUGUAUUGGCUGUGGUGGUGAUAAGGGAGAGCUGACAAACUGGACAUUGCAACGAAUCUAUCGUUAGAGAUUUCGUCGGGCCCAUUUCCCGGUUUGAAUCAUUUAUCAGCCAUGUAUUUGUACAGUUUUGCGCGGAAACCAUGUGUUUAAAAUUCUUGUCAAAAUUAACACCGUACUAUAUCGCUGGUAUUAUUAAGGGAAAUACAGCCUUAAGAAUCUUGCAAAGGCAUCAAACAUUUCUGUAAGAGGAAAGAUGUUAUCAACGGUGUCAGUGACCGAUCAUACCCAAAUGCAUGAUCCGUUCUGCACAUGCGCAGAACUACGUAGGCGGAAACACAGCUUAUUCCUGCUGCCCAGUAUCACACAUGAACAAAACACACUGAGAUCCGUCUUGCAUAUAAGUACAUGUGUAUGUCGCUUCUGUAAAGACUUUAGACCCAUUAUAUCUCUAAAUAUGUGUGUUGCUAUACCUGUGCCAAUAGCAAAAAAAAAAAAAAAAAACAGGACAGCAUUACCAGUUUCACUAAAUGAGCUAACCAUAGCUAGCUGUUGCAAUCCGUAACAUAAUCAUACACCAACACAGUGUUUAGACAUACACCUUUGUUGACAAACAUUACACCAUAUUCCAUCAUUAUAAGAGCCAGAGAACGCAAUCCAGAAUCUGUCUUUGAAGUCGGUGCAUUAUUGAUCAAGUGUGACCGGCAAUCGCUACCAGACUCCAUUGACAAAAACAGUAAUUUUACAAGGUAGAACACAGGAGUUGUUGGUAUACCACUGCACCUAUCUGUUAGUUUGUCAGUGUUAUUGUGUGACUUUCAGUGGUGGAAGAAGUAUUCAGAUCAUUUACAUAACAAAUUAACAGAUCGAGGGAGCGGCGUUAGUGUGUUCUCAUUAGUUAAAUUACUGUUUUUGUCAAUGGAGUCUGGUUGAGAUGAAAAGCUGUUUAUGAUUAAUUAAAAAAAGUUGUGCCUCUGUAUGAAUCCCAUUCGUAAUGUCGUCAGAUAAUUAUAAUAACACCCUGAGCCUCUCAGUGACUAAACCAACUACUUUAGUAGAUAUACUUUGAUGUGGAGGUAUGCAUCGUUUGUUUACAUUGCAUCAGCUGUUCGCGGUGUCCGAGCACACCGUUCUUGAUCAAUACUGCACCGACUUGUCCCUUGUCUCUAGCAAUUAUUUACACCCCAAACCAUCACCCUGAUGCAAAAAUGUUAUCCCUUUUAACAUCUAAACAUAUGUUAAGCGAAAGUUUGGUUUUACUUCCGCUGUUUCAUUCGCAGAGUGGUCAAUUAAAUUGGCUCCAUGACUCCAUGGAUUUAUUAUUAGAGCAUGCUCGACUCUCAUAUUAACAUUUACCACGACUCUGAUAUAUCUAAACAGACGUCUUUUAAAGAGUUCAGUCAUGCUGACUACUUUAAAUAAAUUACACUAGAUCAUAACGUUUGUGCUUUAUUGUUGUUUAAAUGUAGGGUAUUAUGUAGCGAUUUAAAUCAUAAGCCUGCACAUGCGUGGAAGAGAUCGGGCAGUGUGGUAAAACAAUUUCAGUUCUACGCAUGCGCUGAUUUUGGCGCACGUGCAGAACGGAUCGUGCUUCCGGGUACGGAUCGAGCACAUGAUUCACAGUGGGAAAAGACUUAAACCAAGUUUGAAACGUUGCCUCGGUUUGUCAGUACUGUGAGGAUAUGUCUUUGCCGCAUAGGUCUGGAUGCUAAAACAAACUCCGGAGCUGCUUUUUGUCGUACACGAGUCAAAAUGGACGCUAAACACACCUGCGGCGCGAAGGUUUACUCGCUCAGCUGCUGCAACCUGGACAGAAACACCAGCUCUCACCUUAUCAACCAAACAGAAUUCAAACUUCAACCAUUAAAUCACAGAGAGAAGAGACAGACGUGGACAUUUCCAGAAGGUUUUCAGCUGCUGUCGUCGUCCUCCUGCAGAAACAAGAACACGCAUUAAUCACAGACACUGAUCAGUAAAUCUAAAUAUUUUAAUGACAUACUAUUCUCUGACAUUUUUUGAUAUUACUAUACUAUGACAGUUUUUACUAUAUUAUGACAUGCGGCUUAAGACAAAGAAACUCUCUUAAAGUAGCUAUCUUACCUUUGUUUUCCACAGUUUUUAUGGGUUAGGUUAGAUUUUCAUUUUGGUAUUUUGCCAGUGAGAUAUCAGUACUCAAAUCCAAUCUAUUACUGUCUACAUAUUCCUGUUUAUACUGUUCUUACUGUAUAUGGUUAUAUCUUCUCUUGUACCCUUUUUUUGUUGUUGGACUGAUGGAGGGUUAUCUUACUCAAAUAAAUACCUCUGAACACUGAA